AGCCGGAAAUGGUCUCUGGGGUAGUUGGGUAUCAGCAGCACUCACUGCCAGCGACAAAAAGACACCUAGCUCUCUUUUUGGGGGCUGAGGGCCCCAGCUUCUAGAUCCACAGGUCAGCUUUACGUCCUGUUGCCUUGGAGCUUGAUGAGGCAGGUGGCAUGCUGAACCUGCAGCUGGGGUUGGGACUGUCGCCAGUUUUAGCAAGUAGUGGCGUUACCGUUCUUAUUUUAAAAUACAAAUUUUUGGAGAAUUAUUUUGUUUGAAUGGCUUAGGUAAGAAUAAUAAUGAAAUAUACUUUGUGGAUGAUUUAGAACACUGUUUUGCUAAAGACGAGAAUAUGAACAUAUGUAUUGUAAGUCAGUUGUGUUAUAAUGCUUCUUUUGAAACCUGAAUUUGUUCCAGCAUGACUGAUAAGUUAGGGCUCAAUUUGAACACAAUGUGAAUUUCGUGUUGGCUUCUGUUCAGUUUUGUCAGUGAGAAACACUAGGUGAAUCCAGAACACUGCACCCACUGCACCAAGCCUUGUAGGGAACACAAAGCGCACACACUUUAAAUAUCUGCCAGCUACUCAAGUUCGCCAAAUGUGUGAUGCCACGGCUGUGCACACUCAUGCACGUGGUGAGUGGUGUCCUGACUUCCUUCCUAUGCAAAUAACCUUUCUUCUGUCACUUCACAACUCUCAAUCAGCAGCCUGUGAUGCCCACUUCUGCAAGCAAUCUUCAGGUCUUCUCAAGGAGUGAGGAGAGCCUUGGAUGAUUUAUUUCCUCCUCUAUUCCUGAGAUACGACCCUGGAUGGAUGCCCAAGGUGUAACAUACAAGAACUAUCAAAGACUUCAGUAUCAGCCGACGUGACCUGCAGGCCCCCUGAAGUGGGGUUGCCAUUCACACUUGUCAUCUUUAAAGUUUGGAGAGGUCAUGAAGUGAGGAGCUGGAAUGGUUAAUUUCUCAACUUUGCUGGAGUCUCCUGGGCUUGACCUGAUUCCAAGAAGAAUGGUGUCACUAUUAGAGGCUUUCCAACCUCCUUCCGGGGAGCAGGCUGCUAUUGAUUGAAGGUGCCUCCAGGCUGAAAGUCUUAGAUAAAAUAGCUCUUCUGUCCACACACAGAAGCAAGCACAUG